UAGAAUAUGGUGUAUUGCGGUAGCACGAAGGACUUUGAAUUCUUAGGAGUGGGUUCAAUUCCCAUGAUUCUAG
rnacentral:tRNA from 1 species